UUAAGUUCAGCGGGUAUUCCUACCUGAUCCGAGGUCAACCAGAUUAUAAUUUAGGGGUUUUACGGCAGGAUAUAGGGCAGCUUCAGGAGCGAGAACAGAAUUACUACGCUCAGAGCAUGACCUAGCUCCGCCACUAAAUUUGAGGAAUUACAGCAGCUGUAAAUUCCCAACGUCAAGCUAAAUAGCGCUUGGGGGUUGAA
rnacentral:misc_RNA from 1 species